CUCCAUCUUUUCCUCUGUGAACUCGGCUAGGUGUUAAGAGGCAGGCAGGAAGCAAUGGACAGGGAGUCCGAGUGAGGUUGUGCUCUUUCCUGAGAGAGGGGUUCCGCAAGGGAUUGGAGGCGUCCUUGUAGCCAGGUACAGCUUUCCCCUUAGAGAUGAGCGCUCUUGGAGAAAUGAGAAUGGGGAGAAAUCGUCCAUGAACAUGGAGAUUGGACAUCCCCACGAAGGAAAGGAUGAUUUAGGAGACAAGAGGGUCAUCAUGGGAACAAAAUUUCCCAUGGAGUUGGGGAUCAGAGUAGGAUUAGGAAAAGAAGAUUCCCGAUGCGGGGAGAGCCCUGUGGUUAGUAAUAAGUGUGAGGGAAGGAUGGCAUCACCAGAAACAAAAUUUCCAUUGAGCAAGGGACUUGAAAUGGGAUUAGAAAGACAGAAUAUUUCUAGGACUGUCAUGCAGAGGGGUAGUUUAGGAGUCGACAGUGUCUCAGCCUCACAGGGAACAAAACCUUCUCUGUUGCCAGGAAGAAUGGGGUUAGAAAAUGAGAGUCUUCUUGCAGGAUAUACCCAUGAACGGAUAAUACAGCCUCCUUUGGGCAGGGUGUGUGGAGGUUCACAGGCUGCAGGGAGCAGGAGAGCUCCUUUGGCUAGUGGCCCUGAAGGGGUAGAGGAAUUAGUGGGAAAGCCUGCUUUCGUUAUGGAACCAAGACAGGAAAUGGAAAAAGAGUCUACCUGUGUUUUAAUGAAACCCAACACAGAGAUUAAGCUUCCUGUGGAGGUGGACAUUGGACUAACCCAAGCCGAGGGGCCAGAUGAGACUAAGAAUACAGAGCCCCAAAUGGGCUUGGUGAUAGAACCUCCCCAAUGCCAGUUUGCCCAACAACAUGAACAGAGAAAGGAGGCUGGAAACAUUGAAUCAGGAGUGGAACCUCCAGAUCGCAUCAGACCCAUAUACUCUGGGAAGUUUUUUGAUCGGACCCCUUGCUGGCCAAGUGCAGGAAAAGUUAUUCCAGUUGGUUACAGAGUUGCAACCUGCUUGACUGAAAAACUUCCCAGGCUAAUUACUCCACCUGAGGCAAAAAAGUAUUUCAACUUCAGAUAUCCACCUGCUGGAGUAGAAAGAGUAUUUUACGGAAGAGCAAAUGAUCCCCAGAUUGCACCUUAUUUGACACAUGGAAUUAGAUCUAAAAUUUCAAUACCGGCAAACACAUUGAUAAACCCACAGCCUAUUACCACAUUUCAACAGAAAAUUAAAGAUAAAAAAGAAUCUAUAUAUCUUAGCAAUCGACGAGCACCAUUAGGAAAAUCUCACGAUCAAGCACCAGGAUUACCAAAAGGCAUGGACACAAUCAAUACGACAUUUGGGAGCACAGUCAUCAGAGAAUACUCUGCUAAAGAUGUGGUGAAUCCACCAAAAUCCUAUGAAGAAGUAUUUAAAGAAGGAAAUGAAGGACAUGAUUUGUAUGUUGUUUCUCACAAUGAUUAUUAUGCAGGAGAGGCAAAGAACCGAAAGUAUAACCCAUCAAGUUUCCAUAGGUGUAGUAUGUAUGGAGUACCAACACCACAUUUUAAUGAUGGACGAGCCAUGGCAAAAUCUCUAUAUUGGCUCCAUGAACUACAAAUGAAAAGAGGAGCUAAGUUUGUAUCCAAAAGAGCAGAUGAUUUCAAAGAAAAGUUUCAACAUAAACUUGGAAGAGUUUUAGAUCCCAUUGCAGAAACAAUGAAUGUUCCCCCAGACUGCACAUUUGGAGCUUGUCUCCGUCCUGAGGAAUAUGGAGUUGGUGAUCUCAUCCAUAAUAGACUUCCAGAUGAAUAUCUUCGAGGCAAGGAUAGACAGCGAGCCCUGAUUGCAGCAGUUCGGCAUCACCUGAAGAAAGUUAAUUACCAAAAGUUUGACACUUUGCUGGCAGCCUUCAGGCACUAUGACAAGGCUGGAGUGCAAUGGUGUGAUCUUGGCUCACUGCCACCUCCGCCUCCUAGGUUCAAGUGAUUCUCCUGCCUCAGCCUCCCAAGUAGCUGGGAUUACAGGCACCUGCCACCACACCAUAAUUUUUGUAUUUUUAGUGGAGACGGGGUUUCACCAUGUUGGCCAGGCUGGUCUUGAACUCCUGACCUCAGGUCAUCCGCCUGCCUCAGCCUCCCAGUGUUGGGAUUACAGGUGUGAGCCACCGCGCCUGGCCUUGAUAUACCUUUUAAUAGUUAACUCAAUAUGCACAAUGUAGCAUUCAGUCACCGUAAGGAGCUUUUUUUCUGAGAGGGUAAUAAGAUGUGGGUCUAGUACAGCUGUAGGUUAAUUUUUGAUUAUUUAAAUCUUAUAUUAUUGGAUGCCACAUUUAAUUUAAUGGAAAAACAAAACACAACAGAGCAAAUAAACUAUGAUUUUCUAAAUG
rnacentral:sRNA from 1 species